CUACGAAAAAGUUCAUGGAAUUUUGCGUGGCCGAGUUGUGCUCCUACGUACGUAAUUGUGAAACAAAAAGAUGGGCGGAAGGAGUGUACGACAAAGAAGGCUUGAGGGUUUCAUGGACAGGCUAUAAUGCAUAUAGGUCAGGACGAGAGAGAAUAAUGGGAAGAAUGGAGUUUACGAUAAGUUAAAUAAUAGGGGAUACGGAAAGGAACUCGGAGAUUCAAUACAGAGAACCACUGCCGGAAAAAAUAUCUUCGGACAUCCAGGCGACUUCGCGCUGUUAUUACUCGUCCACAAAAAGGAUGAAUCUUUGCUUUUGGCUCAAAGAACUCGGAAGACACAGAAGUCGCGUAAUUAAGCAUCGGCCAUCCGAACAAUAGAACUUCAGUCCUCAGUUGGAAAUUUUUGAGUGAGUUUUUUUGUAAGAGAGAGAUCUGGUUGUCGGUUUUACCUUUGCUUUUUCUUUUUCCGUUAUUUCAUUAUUAUAUCAUCGAAUCUUGACGAAGUUUAUUUUAUUUUA